rnacentral:rRNA from 1 species
GCAAGUCGCGCGACAAGCCUCAUUUAGCUUGCUAUUUGAGGUGGAGUAGCGGCGUAAGGGAGAGUAACGGGUGGAUUAUCUGCCCCUAGGCCCGGGAUAGCUGCGGGAAACUGCAAGUAAUACCGGAUAAUAUCCGCGGAUCAAAGGUGUGAUUCCGCCUAGGGAUGAGUCCGCCUCCUAUUAGCUUGUUGGUGGGGUAAUGGCCUACCAAGGCUACGAUGGGUACCGGGUGUGAGAGCAUGGCCCGGCUCACUGGGACUGAGACACUGCCCAGACACCUACGGGUGGCUGCAGUCGAGAAUCUUCGGCAAUGGGCGCAAGCCUGACCGAGCGAUGCCGCGUGCGGGAUGAAGGCCUUCGGGUUGUAAACCGCUGUCAGUAGGGAGGAAAUCUAUGGGGGUCAUCCCCUGUAGUUGACCUAUCUUCAGAGGAAGGACGGGCUAAGUUCGUGCCAGCAGCCGCGGUAAGACGAACCGUCCAAACGUUAUUCGGAAUUACUGGGCUUAAAGGGUGCGUAGGCGGCGCGGUUAGUCGGAUGUGAAAUCGUACAGCUCAACUGUACAACUGCGUCCGAUACUGCCGUGCUCGAGGAAGGCAGAGGUGAGCGGAACUCAGGG